rnacentral:rRNA from 1 species
UACGUAGGUCCCGAGCGUUGUCCGGAUUUAUUGGGCGUAAAGCGAGCGCAGGUGGUUUAUUAAGUCUGGUGUAAAAGGCAGUGGCUCAACCAUUGUAUGCAUUGGAAACUGGUAGACUUGAGUGCAGGAGAGGAGAGUGGAAUUCCAUGUGUAACGGUGAAAUGCGUAGAUAUAUGGAGGAACACCGGUGGCGAAAGCGGCUCUCUGGCCUGUAACUGACACUGAGGCUCGAAAGCGUGGGGAGCAAACAGG